UGUCAGUGUUCAAGCAUCCAUAACAAUCUAAUUAGUAAUAUGCAUGAAUGAAUUAAUGAGAUUCCCAUUGUCUGUCAUAUGCAAGACUACCUAUCUAGAAAAUAUAUCACUGUAGUGAUAUUGCUUUCCUAACUAUACAAGCCCAUUUUCCAUGAUGGCCAUCUUACUCACAACAUGUCUCAUGGUGGUGAUGCAAUUAUCUAGGUAUUCUGUCUCCCAUAAUGGAGAUACUCUUAUUUGACUCAGUCUUCCAUAGUGGAGUUACUCCUGUCAGUGUUUCAACACUGAAACCUCUACUUGGAGUAAUAGAGGCUAUACUACUGAAACCUUAAACAUCUCCUAUAGUAUGAACUUGUAUAUAAGACUAGUAGUUAUACUGUAAUUCACUAGUCUGAUAAUUGAUGAAGAUAACUCUUAUUGAACUUGAUCCCUAGUGUUCAACAACAAUACACCAAAUCAGCACUUACUCCUAUCUUGAACUUCUUCCUAUUAUCUGAAGUUACAACCAUGUAGCAGACAAACAGUAUAGCACAUAAGCUGAAGCCAAGGUUGUUCCACAAGUCUGCAUAUCUCCAAGCUCAUCUCACAGACUUUCACCUCCAGUGUAAACUGUGCCUGAUACUAUCUCUAUCUACUAUCUAGCAAAACCACAGCCAAGGAAACAGACUUGAUAUAAUUAGUAGGGAAAGAAGACCUUGUUGAGCUUAACUCUGGUUUGACAUUAUGAAAAGAUAUAGAGAGUGUAGAAUAAGUGGAAGUUCUAGUGCUGUUGAAAUACCACUAUCUUUAUCAUCUUUUUACUUAUUCAAUAAAAUAGAGCUGGAAUUAACAGUUCCACCUUUGGCUUCAAGGUCUUUUGAUAGGCCAAUCCAGAUUAAAGACAUUAUUAGAUAGAGAGUUUGACUAGAGCAGCACAUCUGUUAAAAGAUAACACAGGUAUUCUAAGGAAAACUUAUUGAGAAUAGAAAUCUUAAGUAAAACAAAAGAGUACAAGUCCUCUUAAUUUUGACUUUUAGUAUAAAUAUAAACUAUGAAAAUAUGGCCUAUUGAUUUUUUAGUUUCUUAGAAUUUGAGGCUAGAGGUAUCAGAAAAGUUACUAUAAAAAUAACUGGCUUGUAAUAAUCAAGCAUUCAUAGUGACAUUACUUUCUGAUCCUUUGAUGUUGGCUCUUUCUAUUAUACCAAAGCAGAAUUCAGUAAGCAUUGAAUUGUUCAUCCACUAAUAGGGAAUGUGAGCUAGGUUUAGACCAUUGUGAGACAGGUUAGUUUUAUCCUACUGAUAGAGUGUUAUUGUAAUAGUAAUUGAACUUAGUAUAAGAGGAACCAUUCAUUCAGAUAUUUGGUAUUUAUAUAUAUCUAAUCAUGCAAUAGUGUGAAGCUGUCAUCUACUGAAUUAUAGUUGAAUAUCUCUAAGUUAGAAUCCAUACUAGAAAUAAUAAUGUUAACCCCACACAUAUAACUUGAGUUGAGAUAGAGCUUUGCUUGU
rnacentral:rRNA from 1 species